AUUGAACGCUGGCGGCAGGCCUAACACAUGCAAGUCGAACGAGUGGCGGACGGGUGAGUAAUGUCUGGGAAACUGCCCGAUGGAGGGGGAUAACUACUGGAAACGGUAGCUAAUACCGCAUACCAUCGGAUGUGCCCAGAUGGGAUUAGCUAGUAGGUGGGGUAACGGCUCACCUAGGCGACGAUCCCUAGCUGGUCUGAGAGGAUGACCGGGGACACUGAAACGGGGAAACGGUCCAGGGUCCUACGCGAGGCAGCAGAGGGAAAUAGUGGACAAGGGGCGCAAGCCGGAUGCAGCCAUGCCGGGUGGAUGAAGAGGGCCGGAGAGUAGUAAACUCCGUUCGCAAGCGGAAUGGUAGUGGGAAAAGAAGCGCCGGCUAACUACGUGCCAGCAGCCGCGGUAAUAC
rnacentral:rRNA from 1 species